rnacentral:rRNA from 1 species
GAUGAACGCUGGCGGCGUGCCUAAUACAUGCAAGUCGAGCGAACAGACGAGGAGCUUGCUUCUCUGAUGUUAGCGGCGGACGGGUGAGUAACACGUGGAUAACCUACCUAUAAGACUGGGAUAACUUCGGGAAACCGGAGCUAAUACCGGAUAAUAUUUUGAACCGCAUGGUUCAAUAGUGAAAGACGGUUUUGCUGUCACUUAUAGAUGGAUCCGCGCUGCAUUAGCUAGUUGGUAAGGUAACGGCUUACCAAGGCAACGAUGCAUAGCCGACCUGAGAGGGUGAUCGGCCACACUGGAACUGAGACACGGUCCAGACUCCUACGGGAGGCAGCAGUAGGGAAUCUUCCGCAAUGGGCGAAAGCCUGACGGAGCAACGCCGCGUGAGUGAUGAAGGUCUUCGGAUCGUAAAACUCUGUUAUUAGGGAAGAACAUAUGUGUAAGUAACUAUGCACAUCUUGACGGUACCUAAUCAGAAAGCCACGGCUAACUACGUG